UGGAGAUUACCUCAAUGGUAGAGGGCUUGCUUAGCAUGCAUGAGGCCCUGGAUUCAAUCCCUUGUUCUACAA
rfam:Ictidomys tridecemlineatus contig041113, whole genome shotgun sequence.